CAUCUUACGAGGUAGUUUUGGA
rnacentral:miRNA from 1 species